GAUGAACGCUGGCGGCGUGCCUAAUACAUGCAAGUCGAACGAGUUCUCGUUGAUGAUCGGUGCUUGCACCGAGAUUCAACAUGGAACGAGUGGCGGACGGGUGAGUAACACGUGGGUAACCUGCCCUUAAGUGGGAGAUAACAUUUGGAAACAGAUGCUAAUACCGCAUAGAUCCAAGAACCGCAUGGUUCUUGGCUGAAAGAUGGCGUAAGCUAUCGCUUUUGGAUGGACCCGCGCCGUAUUAGCUAGUUGGUGAGGUAAUGGCUCACCAAGGCGAUGAUACGUAGCCGAACUGAGAGGUUGAUCGGCCACAUUGGGACUGAGACACGGCCCAAACUCCUACGGGAGGCAGCAGUAGGGAAUCUUCCACAAUGGACGCAAGUCUGAUGGAGCAACGCCGCGUGAGUGAAGAAGGCUUUCGGGUCGUAAAACUCUGUUGUUGGAGAAGAAUGGUCGGCAGAGUAACUGUUGUCGGCGUGACGGUAUCCAACCAGAAAGCCACGGCUAACUACGUGCCAGCAGCCGCGGUAAUACGUAGGUGGCAAGCGUUAUCCGGAUUUAUUGGGCGUAAAGCGAGCGCAGGCGGUUUUUUAAGUCUGAUGUGAAAGCCCUCGGCUUAACCGAGGAAGCGCAUCGGAAACUGGGAAACUUGAGUGCAGAAGAGGACAGUGGAACUCCAUGUGUAGCGGUGAAAUGCGUAGAUAUAUGGAAGAACACCAGUGGCGAAGGCGGCUGUCUGGUCUGUAACUGACGCUGAGGCUCGAAAGCAUGGGUAGCGAACAGGAUUAGAUACCCUGGUAGUCCAUGCCGUAAACGAUGAAUGCUAGGUGUUGGAGGGUUUCCGCCCUUCAGUGCCGCAGCUAACGCAUUAAGCAUUCCGCCUGGGGAGUACGACCGCAAGGUUGAAACUCAAAGGAAUUGACGGGGGCCCGCACAAGCGGUGGAGCAUGUGGUUUAAUUCGAAGCAACGCGAAGAACCUUACCAGGUCUUGACAUCUUUUGAUCACCUGAGAGAUCAGGUUUCCCCUUCGGGGGCAAAAUGACAGGUGGUGCAUGGUUGUCGUCAGCUCGUGUCGUGAGAUGUUGGGUUAAGUCCCGCAACGAGCGCAACCCUUAUGACUAGUUGCCAGCAUUUAGUUGGGCACUCUAGUAAGACUGCCGGUGACAAACCGGAGGAAGGUGGGGAUGACGUCAAAUCAUCAUGCCCCUUAUGACCUGGGCUACACACGUGCUACAAUGGAUGGUACAACGAGUUGCGAGACCGCGAGGUCAAGCUAAUCUCUUAAAGCCAUUCUCAGUUCGGACUGUAGGCUGCAACUCGCCUACACGAAGUCGGAAUCGCUAGUAAUCGCGGAUCAGCACGCCGCGGUGAAUACGUUCCCGGGCCUUGUACACACCGCCCGUCACACCAUGAGAGUUUGUAACACCCGAAGCCGGUGGCGUAACCCUUUUAGGGAGCGAGCCGUCUAAGGUGGGACAAAUGAUUAGGGUG
rnacentral:rRNA from 1 species